rnacentral:rRNA from 1 species
GAUCAUGGCUCAGAUUGAGCGCUGGCGGCAGGCUUAACACAUGCAAGUCGAACGGUAACAUAAAGAAGCUUGCUUCCUUGAUGACGAGUGGCGGACGGGUGAGUAAUGCUUGGGAAUCUAGCUUAUGGAGGGGGAUAACUACGGGAAACUGUAGCUAAUACCGCGUAAUAUCGAAAGAUUAAAGUGUGGGACCUUCGGGCCACAUGCCAUAGGAUGAGCCCAAGUGGGAUUAGGUAGUUGGG